UACGUAGGGGGCUAGCGUUGUCCGGAAUCAUUGGGCGUAAAGAGCGUGUAGGCGGCCCGGUAAGUCCGCUGUGAAAGUCGGAGGCUCAACCCUCGAAUGCCGGUGGAUACUGUCGGGCUAGAGUGCGGAAGAGGCGAGUGGAAUUCCUGGUGUAGAGGUGAAAUUCGUAGAUAUUGGGAAGAACACCGGUGGCGAAGGCGGCUCACUGGCCCGUAACUGACGCUCAUGCACGACAGCGUGGGGAUCAAACAGG
rnacentral:rRNA from 1 species